AAGGACUAAAGCUGCAAGAACCAUUAAAUGAUCUUCCAAAGGCAGUUCGUUCAAGCAUAGCACACCAUCUGUUUUUUCCUGUCGUGCAAAAGGUCUACCUCUUGCAAGGAGUCUCUCUUGAUUUCCUUUUCCAGAUGGUUUCAGUUAUGGUAGCCGAGUAUUUCCCACCCAAGGAAGAUGUGAUACUGCAGAAUGAGUCUUCAACAGAACUUUAUGUGUGGUUUCAGGGGCAGUGAAUCUGGUUCGCUGCAUUGAUGGGCAUGAUCAUGUUCAGGGGAAGGCCGUUGCAGUAGAUGCAUAUGGAGAGAUUGGAGUUUUAUAUCAAAUACCACAGCAUUUCACAGUUCGGACCACAGAACUUUCUCAGAUUUUAA